CAUUUCCUUGUGCUGCUUAACAUAUCCAGCAGGUGGCCGAGCCUACACUUCUGCAGAUGAGUGAAGUAUGGGCGUUGAGAAAGUGGGUGUCUUCACACAUUCUUUCCUGAAGCUCACAGAAUAAAUGAGAUCCCUUUGAAGCGUGAUUAAUUUUCGACAGAAACUAUUUUAUGACAGGUAAGUAACAUCAAAUCAUGGGCAUUUAG
rnacentral:lncRNA from 1 species